GGCCCUGUCGUCUAACGGUUAGGACACCGGUCUUUCAAGCCGGCAGCAGGGGUUCGACUCCCCUCAGGGCCG
rnacentral:tRNA from 1 species